AACGAACGCUGGCGGCAGGCUUAAUACAUGCAAGUCGAACGCCCCUUUCGGGGGGAGUGGCAGACGGGUGAGUAACGCGUGGGAACGUGCCCAAAGGUAGGGAACAACUCCGGGAAACUGGAGCUAAUACCCUAUGUGCCCGAGAGGGGAAAGAUUUAUCGCCUUUGGAUCGGCCCGCGUUGGAUUAGCUAGUUGGUGGGGUAAAAGCCUACCAAGGCGACGAUCCAUGGCUGUUCUGGGAGGAAGAUCAGCCACACUGGGACUGAGACACGGCCCAGACUCCUACGGGAGGCAGCAGUAGGGAAUCUUGGACAAUGGGCGCAAGCCUGAUCCAGCCAUGCCGCGUGAGUGAUGAAGGCCUUAGGGUUGUAAAACUCUUUCGCAGGUGACGAUAAUGACGGUAACCUGAGAAGAAGCCCCGGCUAACUUCGUGCCAGCCGCCGCCGUAA
rnacentral:rRNA from 1 species